AACUACAGGCAGUAGGAGAAUGAGGAAAGAACCUGUAAUGUGAACAUAUCACAGUAAAAAUACAUACUUACGUUCAGAAUUGACUAUUGUUUUACAAGGAACUCCCAAGAAAACAUGCAUGUGGAUCCCACUGCCUGCAGAGGUUCUCUUUAAACACUCAUGAAAUCAACAUAUCAUACUUAGAAGAUUUCUUGGUUUAGCUGGAAGCAGGGCUGUAAAUGUUCUGCUCAUAUCCUUCACCAUGGGUUAGCUGAUACCACCAGCACACCCACUUCAUACUUGUGGAAAAGGCUACUCUUCACUGGCCUGCUUGGGUGUUCUGCAGGCCAAGUGUCAGUGCUGCAAUCAGGUCUAUAAAUCUGCUACAUUAUUUGUGUGCUGAAGCUUCUCUUCCGAUUGUGAUGAAGAAAUAAUUGAGUUGCAGAAUUCCACCAGUUACAUGUGAUGCUCAUUGAAUUUUAUUCUCUAACAAAAGUUAUUUUGUAAGUUGGGGAGGAAAAAAGUUUAAAUGUAAGUGGAUACAUAUAUUUUUGGUACUUAAAACCAUUUAAUUACAUCAUUAUUUUGCCAAGUAACAUGACAUGGACAAGUUAGAUGUUAGCCUUUUUUAUAAUUUCACCAAAGUGAUCAUACAUAUUUGUUUGCUGGCUACACAACUACAUUUGAUCUUUGUCCAAGCACAGAAAAUUAGUGCAAAAAAAGUAUGGGAGGAUCCAGGGCUUCCAAAUAUAUUAAACUCAUUACUAAGAUGCUUUCUUAAACUUUCUCAUAGUUCAGCCUUGUUCACUCUUGAGAUGUUCUUGUUCACUUAGAGGUGAUGCCUCACUGACUUAAAGUAAUAAUCCUAAAUUGAAUUGUCUUGUAAAGAAAUGCAACAGUGUAAUUGUCAUUUUAACAUAGAUGCUUCUCAAGAAAAACCCAAUUUGAAUGUUACUACAUUUUAAAAUAUAUUUCUAUGACCUUGUUUAGAUGUGCGCUACCAAAGGAUGCAUAUUGUAAGUGAGCUGAAGUGUUCGUAUGCAGAAAAGCCAAUGUUUUUUACUGCAGGUAAAACAGAGCCUCCCAUAGUUGUUAUCUCUGAAUGUGGGGCUGGUGCUUUGAUUCAGAAUGGUGAAACAGGCACAUGCUGAAUGUUUACUAUUCUCAUUGGAUAUUUCUUCCCACAGUACUGGAGGAGAGUGGGUUAGAAAAUGAUUGUGAAAUACUGUUCCCUUCUCCUAGGAGAACAUGUUGUCCCAAGAAAACUAAGGAAAUGCUGGCUUACACUUUUUCCAAAUGAGUUUACUGUAAGUGUGGCAGUAAGUGGCAGUAAGCUGUUUUAUGCACUGCAUUGUUUCCCACAGUAUCCAGUCCCUGCAGUUGACAGUUUACAGGUGUCUCUGAACCUCUGACUUCAAAUAAAGCCACACAGAGACCACAAGUCAGUCCUGAUGAGCAGACACAAUUCUUCAGGUUCUCUUCAAGGCUGUGAGAUGCAAAAUAGUUGUUUCCUUGAAAAGACAUUUGUCAAGAAGAUGACAGGUCUUACUGAAGGAAACUUUACAACAACUCUACACUUUAUGAGAGAGGAAUAAAGCUGAGGCCCUAAUGCUCAUCUCUGAGUAGUGUAAUUUAAAAUAAUCCUCCACUGCAUCAAUGGCAUUUUCCAUGUGUAAAAUGAGGAUAUCAUGGCUGAACAGAACCAGUGCUUCAUGUUUGUAGCUAAUUUAUCUCCUGACAAACAGGAGGGGAGCCCUUCUUACUGUCAACUUUCCAAUAUGGCACACACUGAGGCUGCAGAAGUCUUGGGCAGUAGGGGCUGAAGAGGGUAAAGAAGCACUGACCAAAAAUCACACUGACCUGCUGCAGAUUUUUUGUUUUAAUCCUGUAAGUCCUUGUCAUGCUGCAAAGAGCCCAGUUUGCUGAAGGAAAACAAGACAAAGGAGGGCAUGAUUUGGGUGAAAUGCAUGGGGAGGCCAUGUCUCGGGCAUGCACAGACCUCCUGACAUGGGCUGUUUCCAGUGCUCCGUCUGGGUGGGGAAGGGGUGCUGCAGUCCUUGUGUCUUCACCUAUGCACUUUCUGGCUCCUCCACCUCCAUCCACCCUUUCCCAAGGUGGCAAAGCAAGCCAGCCUGGGGCCGCUGUCCCGGAGGAUUGACCCUUUCAUCUAGGGGGCAGGACUCCUACCACCAGCAGUGAUCCCACCUUCAAGCUCAGCGGCUCAGGCUGCGACCUGCUUUUGGAGGUGACCUGUUGUGACUUAAGGACUAGGUAGUGCUAGUGAGCCAAAAGAGAGCUGAAAUGGGAGAUAGAAAUGAGCCUCUGAAAGCACUGGGAAGGCUGGUACUUGCAUAGUUCUGUAAAGGCAACAGUGUUAGUCCUAAGGAAAGGGUACUAUUUCUACAGCUAUAAUCCAAGACAUUUUCCUUGUUAGCACCAAAGCUGCACUCUGGGAUUCAUCUUGGCUUAAUACAGACACCGCAUAGGGAAGUUCAGGGAUGGUCAGCUAUUAUGAACAAUUGCAGCUUUGUAAGCUUUGGAGUUUUAUUUGAUUCCUGUCCUAGGUUAUAAUAUUGGGGUGUAUUCCAUUACCACCUCGAGCUACAAUCCCUUUCUUUCCUUAUCUUGUAACUCAGACAUAAGCCCCUCCAGGAGGACCUGUUCUUUUAGCCACAUGACUGAUAAGAUCACAGCAUUCUAUUGUGAAAUGCUCUGCCCAUAGGGAGGAGCCAAACGAUGCCAUCAAGGAUAUAAGCAGGGUUGUGCAGACAGCAAGUAGAUCCCCUCUUCCAAGAAGAACAGCUGAGACCUUCUCUACACUGGACCUCCAGAGGGAAACUACAUCAGUCUACAAGACCACUGCUUGGACAGAACCGUAUCUGCUACCACUGCCCUAGCCAGCAAGUGUCAGGUGCUACAGCUAGUUCAAACGUCUGUUGGAGCGAUUUUUGAUCAGGAUGGAAACUGCGCUGGGAUUUCACGGGAGGUCUUCAGGAGCAGACACGUCUCGGUACUGAAGCUGCCCUGCAGGUGGCGUAAGCCAUCUGCUCAGCACAGGCACAGCUCUAAUGCUACGCUUGUGUUUCAAAGAAGAAAAGCAAAAUAAUAAAAACAUGCUCACAAAACUGUUCUUUAUAUAGGUGCUGUGGGCCAUGUUGGCUGAUGCAUGGCUGUGUUACACCGCCUUCAAUGUUGUGAUAAAUGAAAGAUAUUUUUUUCUGGUAAAGGUAAAAUCGUAUUUUAAGACACAGUGUUUUCUUGUGCCUUUGAAUGAGGAGAGUCUGCCUUUCUUUCAGGUACUUUGAUCACCUACAGAGAGCUCAUUACAAGCUGGUGAGUAGAAAAUGAUGAGCAUCAGUCUUUUGAUCUUAACUAUUCUAGAUUUAGGGGAAAAAGAACAAAGUUUGAGUGUGUCUACAGUUCCUACGCAUUAUAACAUCCAUUUAGGGGCCACAUCCAUUCCUGGCUGAGUUUAAUCACAGUGUGAAAUGUGGUUUGUAUUCCACAUCUGGCCAUUGUAGGAGGAGGUAACGCCUACAUUCAGGCAUCUUUUCUGCUCCAUUCAGAACUACUGAAUCUCAGAGAAAAACUGUCCAUAUCUAGGUCAAAAGUGAGGAGGGAGAGGAAAUUAAAAAGAAAGGGAAGUCAAAGGAGGAUUGUCUGGCGAGACCUUAAAUCCUUAGCUCUUCACUGUAGCCCAUGUGGGUAACUGAACUUCUGAGCCAAGUACAAAAGUCAUGAGGUUUUAGGUACAGUAAAGAAAUUCAUAUCUCAAGGUACAGAAAUAUGUGUCUCAAGAAGGAGUUGCACAGUGACCAGAAUGGGUAUUCUGUCCCAGCCUGAAGGACAAGGUGUGCAAAGUAUGUGAGCAUCUGAGAUUGGAAAUAGAUCCCUCAUGAUAUUGUCAAGUAUGCCUGUGGGAAGAACAGGGAAAACCACACCAAGCAUGUUCAGCACCUGUAGACACAAAGUGGGCUUGAGUGUUUGGCACUCACAGUGUGCACAACAUUCUCCACAUGUAUGAUCAUGCUAAGCUAUGUCACAGGUUGUGAAGUUAGGAAGACAAAGAAAAAACUUACUUGGAAGAUUUAAAGGAUACACUUUGCAAAAAAUUCAGCCAACACCUGGCUCACCAACUGUUCUAUUUUUACUGUUUAAUCCCAGUCACACUCCUAUGAUAUCUUUGAAUAUUCUGAGUCCAGGAGAGAUGAACCCAAAGACAGGAUUAAUACAGAAGAUUAUUUUUUCUUUUCAUUUCCACAGCACAGUCCUGAAUACAGCAAGUAGUGAUUUCAUAAAAAGCAGUGGUUGCAGUCACAUCUGAGUUACAUAAGUAAUAUAACUCUUCUUUAGAUUUCUGAGGUUACAUACCUCCAGGAAAACAUGUCCACUUGCUAUAUAUUUAAUUGAGUUUGGGAAAUAAAAAUGUUAUUUUCAGUGUUUUCCAGGCCAGAGCUAAACCUUUCCUAAAGGAGAUUUUAAUAAUAUCCAGAAGAGGGAAUGAACUUACUGCAGGCAAAAAUUAUAAUAUAAUAAUAAAAAGUCAGACUGCUCCAAGUCUCAUUUGGCUCAACUGCUGAAUUUAGGAGAUUUCUCUUAAAAGUCUUUGGUGUAUUUUAGUGUGUCUCCACAAUGGUUGGGAAAAAAACAAACAUAACCUGUUGAGAGUUCACUUUAUAUAACUCUUCCUCAUCAUGCUAAAUUUUUAGCAGAAAAACUGCAGACCACUGGGUUUACCUGAGCUGGGUAAGCCUUUUAGCUUACCAAAUAUCACAUCAAAAGUUGGGACUGAGUAAGUGUUAAAGUUUUGUUAGAAUGGCGUGUCCUAAAGUAAUUGUAGAAUGCCAAAGACAGAACUUCCCGUGUUCCUUCAGGCCGAGCAGGGAUGCCAAGCAUAUAGAAUUGGAAGCUGCCUAUAAGGGUUUUUUUAUUUGCUUGAUAUUGAGCAGACAGCAGAGAUAAAAUACCAAAAAUGCCUGAAAUCCUUACGACCUUUUACUGCAAACUGUGAACUUUGUCUGCUAAACUCAAAUUUCUAUUUACACUGUCAGCAGAGGCUACAUGCUGUUGCCUUUUCUUUGUCUCUUCAGUUUGUCAUCUAUCAAGGGACAGCUUCACAAACACUGCACAGGAUGAGGGACCUGAACACAUACCAGACCUUCUGCACGUUCAAAAUUCUUUGUCUCAGUUCUGUGGAUUGCUUAAAAAUGGCUGCAGUGAGAGCAAAGUAGCAUGAAAUAUGCUGUUUGCACCAAAAGUAAGAAAUAUUCUAUAGAAAGUUUUAGCUUUGCCAUCAGCUGGCAUAGCUCACAUUCUGAAGUUGUGUCCCAAAUCCUGCACAGCUGACUCCAUUUACACCAUCUUCCAUUAACACAGGAACACACAGGUGACUGCCCACUAAAUGGUCCAAAAUACAUUCAGCAAAGAACUGCAUCACCUUCUUAAACUAAAUAUCCCUGAUUUCAGCCUUGUGCUUCAACAUUCACCCACCCUUGUAAAUGAGGAGCUAGACUGUUGCAGAGAACAAGUGCAGAGGAGAUUUCAGAGGUAUAAAGUAGAAAUUGUGAGAGUGAGUAGAGUGAGGGUGAGGGUGACUGAACACUGGCAUCAGUUGCCAGGGUGGUUGUGAAGUCUCAUCAUGUGAAAAAUUCAAAAGUUUUCUGGAUGUGGUCAUGGCCAUCCAGUCUAGGUGUCCCUGCCUGAGCAGGGGGAUUGGACAAGGUGACUUCCAGGGCUGCCUUUAGACCUCAACCAUUCUUGUUCCUAUGGAAGACUACUGUGAACUGUAAUAUUUGUUGCUAUUUGCAUAACUUUGCCAAUUAAAACAGAACAGCCUUAAUCAAUUAUUUAAAUAAACCAGACAGCUACAUAAAAUUCCUUUGAAACUUAAUAGAAGGUUGAAUUAUAUAACAAAUGUUUUAGCUGAAUUCUUAGUAUUAGAUGGGCAAUUAUUCUGACUGUAUUUCAAAUUUCAUUUCACACUGUGGUAGCAUUCCUUGAACUUUACAAGGCAAAGGCAUUAAUAGAGUUGUGUCUGAACUCUUUAGGGUCUAAAAAACUGUCUUAACAUGAGAAUUUCUUGAGAGACUUCUGCACAGAAAAUACAUUGGUGUUUCCAAAAGAAACUGAGUUCACAAGGAAUCAUUUCAUUGGCACAUUAUGUUAAUGAGGCUUUUGAAAGAAGAAAUUUCACUUAGUGUUGCUUUCCCCUGAAUGUGAAAGCUGUGGAAAAUGUGUGGAAAACAUUGGCAAAGUGAUGAUGGCAGGUGUAUGCUCUAUAUGUUACUGUUAAUGAGCUAGCUGUUAAUAAACCAUAUGCUUUAGCAUAUAAACAGGAAGAUUUAUGCAUAAUGCAAACAUUUACUGUUUGGUAUAACUGUUUCCCAGAUCAGAGAGGCACAUUGUUCCAGUCUUCCACAAACUUCUUGUUAUCAGUAUAAAAAUCUGCUGCCUACUGGUUUCAAGUUCUUUUCAUGUGAGUUGGUCUGGGGUGUAGUGGGGCUCGGAAGCAGAGAAUUUAGUGAGCAGCAGGUUCCUCAGAUGUCUGCUCUGCACAGCCUGGGAUCAUAAACUUGUCAUUAUGGCUACUAACAGCAAGCAGGAGGUUUCUAUACAACAUCCCAAUUCUAAUGAUUCGCGGAGUCAAGUUCAUCCUGUUCUUUUUAUGUGUUCUUCUGUACUGAAGCUUUUUGUGUCAAUUAUCACUACUAAAGUCCUAAACAAGCCCCUUUUCUGCAAAACACAGACAAAAGCAACCAUUGGGUUUAUUCACAAUAAUGCUUGGAUUAGUUAAAGAAACCACAUUUAUAAAUCGGAAAAGUAAAUUUCUAAGCUAUUGAAUAACACUGCUAUGUUUGGAAAAGAUUUUUCUUUUGUAAUUCUCCUUUAAUUUCCUCCCAUCUAAAGCUGCUGUGAGGAGUCUGAAGCUAGGUUUUCAUGAGUAAGUGAAGGAGUCCAGCAACCUGUCUCCUAUUUAAAAUAAAUGGUCCUGGAAAUGUAUGGUAGCAUUUCCAUAAAUACUUGAAUAACUUGAGGUUUAGGUUCCACUAAAGGUCUUCCAGUAUUUCCAGCUCCCCAAGGAAGACAGAGAAAAAGCAGACCAGUAAACUAAUCCUUACUAUCAGAUAAGCAGGGAUUGAAUGGAGGCACAUAAAGCACGAGAAAACGAGGAGGAAACUGUGGACAGAGGAGAUGCCUAUGUUCAAGAAGUUUAUACACUGAGAGGCAUAAAAGGCAGUUCAACAGGAAAAAGGAUAGACAGAAAAAAUAUCAGACUAUACAAAUUGAAACAUUACUUUCAAUCACAUAGGUUUGUUUUGGAUUUUGAGAUACAAGCUCUGUAAAUCCACAUUGUAUAACUUUAUCACCUGACUCAGUGCCUCUGAAGUCAGCACAAGUAUUUUUUUCAUUUUGCUUCCUGAUCAGAUUAGAAAGUGUUUGAAGUCAAGCUGUGCAUUCUGACAACUUUCUAAAUAGUUUUGCUUUCUUCAUUUCAGUUGUUGUUUUUCAAUUUAAAAAUAUUAUUAAAAUACCACUUUUGGGUGGGUAGUGACUACCAUGACACUGUGUAGAAAACCAAAGCAAUCUGAAGCAAGCUAGACAUUCUAAGUACAUUUUUAAAAUACCUUAUUGCUUAAAUAAAAGAAAUCCCUUAGUCUAGCAAUUAAUUUCAGAUGUUUGAUUGUUUCUUUUUAAAGAACUGUCAUGUCAACCAUUUAGAACUGACAAGAACUAUUUUGGUAUCUUCAUGAGUUUUCUCCAACAUCUGCUCUCCUCCUUAUGUUGGGAACUACAUACUCAUCUUUAUUGUCUCUUGUAUUCAUCUUAAUUUUGCUGUAUUUUAUUUUAUUAUUGGAGGAAAACCUCACAGAGCUGUUUGUGGCAAGAUUUAGUUACAGGAAACCCAACAGCUAAGCCCCAGUUUCAGCUGAGACAAUUAGACUGUUGAUUUUGGUAGCAGCUCAGGACUUCUAUUUGACCCAAAUGCCUUUCAGAUCUAUCUGCCAGUUGAUGCUUAAGUCUGAAAAUUUUCUGUAUUCUUGCUACAGAUAGAGGGCUUUGUUUCCUUUUCAUUUGAGGUGUAUUUCUAUCCAGAUCUGAAUGUUUUGCUGAAAUUCUUUUCCAUUCACUGAAACAGAUUAAAAGAAAAAAAGGAAAUAAUAUUUUCUAGAACUUUCAACCUCUUUUUAAGUUUCUUUUCCCCUUAAAUCUCUGUUCCUUGAUAUCUGUGAAUUGUUGAGGACAGUGUUUUUCUAAAAGCAAUUUUGCCACUCAUUCAAAGUAAUGGGUGCUAAUUUGUAAUGCUUAGUUUAACUGUCUCUUUUUCUGUCUAGCAGCUACAUUUAAUAGCUUAUAUUACUGUUUCACCUGUUGUAAUAAAGAACUCUAAAACACUGAAAACUCAAUACUUUUUAAAAGUGAUCUAUAUUAUGUAACACCAGAAGAUAUUUAUUGAAAUGUUUGAAGAAAUUACUAAUGAACAGAGCAGUGUUGUUAUACUGUCUUUUCAUCAACUGCUACAGAAACUUCACAGCUGAAUUAUCCAACUCCACUGCCAUUCUUGGAUGGAUGUUUUCUUAAGUGGAUGGGCUCUAACACUUUAUGGAUGUUCUGGGAGAAUGUAAAUAAUAACUAAGAAGUUUUUUAUUCUCUGUCAGUAGUUUGUGGGCUAGAGUCUUGAGCAUUUUUUUUCUCUUUUUGUUCCUUCUUUUUUCUCUUGUUAGACUUUCCUAGCACCUGAUGUAGGAUAGGUCACAGCAGCUGAUGCUGGGUGAAAACAGUUACCAGGGACAGCUCCAGCAAUGGAGUGGUCAGAGAUCCUAAAAUCCUGUCACUGCACCAGUCCACCCCACUGGGUUCAUAGUUCAGAGGUCUCCAGUGGGUUUCCAUGAUUGUGUGACUCUGCUGGUUUUCAUCUCAGACAAAUCACGUAUGACUUCUCCGCAAGUGAGAAACGCUACUGAAUGUGGCGCUCAUUUUCCUUAAAAGAUGUCAAGAAAGUCUGAGGGAGUUCCAUGAUUAAUUCCUGCCAUGUGGAUUCUUUCAAAUAAUUAGCUUUCUAGAAACCAAAACAGUGCAGGACACUACUGCAAUGCAACUUGUUAAGCAAUAACGCGUCUUUUCUUCCAGAAGUCACACUUGAUAACAAACAAUACUCAUAGGCAUAAGAUGACUGUGGACAGUAUGAGCUAAUGUCUCGUCAGAAAGUUUUCCAUUAAGGCUCAGAAUUAUGUUUAACAUAUUCUUCCCAUUAUUGAGAUAAAUUAAACAGUGUAUUAAGUAUGGAUUUCUCAGUUAAUGUUAACUGGUGUUUAUUUUAGCAUGUACAUAGAUCUGGAAGUGGACACAUGUACGUAGGCAUUUUGGGGAUCAAAAGCACAUCAACAGCGUGGUUCACUCUAGUUCCAGGAUAAAAUGUUUUCUAACAUUUCUUUUUAAUGAAACUUAACUCCUUACUCUUUUCCAACCAGAAAAGUAUAUUUAAACCAAGCUGCUUUACAGAAACACAAAUAUGCCAAAUGCCAUACAUGUUCUCUCCUAUCAAACAAUGGAGAAUGACUGAAAGGAUAGAUUUCUUUAUCUAUGAUAAAAAGUGCUGCUGAGGAUGAUCACCAAAAUUUAUGUACCGUAUAAUUUUCUACUCAAAAGUCAAAAGCUUUGGUGUAUAGCAAAUAUGUGAAUAACUUAUCAAACCCUGUAUAGGUGAUGGCUUUAAGACAACUUCAGUUUUAAGCCUUUGUGCUUUGUUUUUGGCAUUACAUAGAACUCCUUAGGAUUGCAAAGUUUACAUUAGAAAAACUUACAUUGCAAAGUUUACUUACAUUGAGGUUUUGGGACAGGGCAGAAGAUGGACAGGUUGGCUGAUUUUCACUCUAGGAGACACAGAUUUCCUGAUUGUGUUAGGCCGGGUGUUACUUUGUUGAUUUUAGGUUGGUCCUAGGGGAAAAAGAAAGCUUUUAAGAAAUAUAUAUGCAUAAUAUCCUUCCCCCCCACCCCCUCCCCCACCCCAAACACUAAGAAGCAUUAGUCAAAAUUUUAAAACAUAGUGGCUUAACCUAGUCUUUUAAUUCCCCAUUCCAGCUUCUUAUUCAAGGUCUACUGUUCAGUGAAAACCUGGCAACUCAUUCAUUCUGAGUAGCCUUUUUAGUUAUUCAGUGCUUGUGAAAACUGAUGUAGCAGUUUGAAUAUGGAUCCUAUGUUCAGUGUUUUUGUUGGCAAGCCUGUAAUAAUUAUGCUGCAAAUCAAAAUAUGGGUUUGGAUUUCAAAAGUGCCUUGAGCCUUGUUCCCACCCUUCUACAGAGACACUGCAUAACUUUUUCAGAUUACCAGGUAUAAAAUUAUCAGUCUGAAAUACAGAUGAAAAACUUUUACCUAAUCUUAUAUUUCUCCAUGUGUGUCAUGCCUAUGGAAAUGUACAUACAAACCCUUUAAUGCAACACAUAAAUAAAAUCAUUAGUUCCUGAGAGGCAUUGUGCUUGGAAACUAUCAAAGUCCCAAGCAUUACUGCACUCAUAAUGUGGGGAUACUAACAAGGAGUGUCACAGACAAUGCUAUUGUCCUAUAUAAAAUAAAAUCUGCUUUUCUAUUUAUAUUCUGAUCAUUCUCACACAGCUGCUACCAAGUCCUAUGUGCUUUGCCUGACACAAAUCCCACUGACAUGACUGGGAAGUCUCUGUUAUUUACUGCGUUCAGCUGCCAUCGAGCUGUUUAGGGCUCAGUUGUGGAUGGAGAAUUCUGAAUGAGUGUGCUCCAGCUGGAGUGAGCACAUGCUUGAGUGCUGUGCUGGAUCAGAGCUGGGGAAAGCGCUGCACCUCUCUGCAUAGCCCCUGCCGUCAGCUGCUCACCAUGCACUGCACUUGCUGCUCAGCAUCCAUCCCACAGGGAGCCAUGGGCUCCUGCAACCCAGCCCAUGGAAAAGCAGGGUGAUCGCUCUUUGUGUGCUGAUUUGUUUUGUGGUUGAAAAUUGAGGUAUUUGGCCUAGGAUCUUCCAUGACUGUGUUAUUGCUCUCCAGAGCCACUGGUUUCCCACCACUCAGAGUAACUCCAAGGAGCCAAACACACCCAAAGGUAUCUCUCCAUUUAUUUUUAGCAUUUUAUCAGCCAGGGAAAAAUGCAAAUUCAAGAGCAGUGGCUCCUGACCUCUGCAAGGCUGUGCUGAAGCAGUGCCCUGUACCCCAGCACUCAAGGGUCCUCCCCAGACCCAGAGCGGGCCUCAGGCAGCUCUGCCCUGGGUGGCCUGGCCACCAAGAGACCAAGCAAACCCUAGGGGCAGGAAGCAUUUGGAAAGGGAGGAGUACCGAGUUCCCAGAGGAACUCUUUUACCUCAGAUUUAUUCAAGUCUAUUUGAAAUGUGCCCACUCUACCCUGUUUCAUCUGAAUGCCACACCAGGGCUAUUUGUAAGGCCUCUCAAAUGUGACAAAAGUACUAGUGAAAUUAUUCUCAGAACAAUCCAUUUUAAUAGAAGAGGCUUGAAUUUUCUAGACAGCGGAGUGUUUUCUGCCAGAAAGGAGAUGUCCAAACAUCAGCCCCAGUACCUCCAUGGUACUGCUGCCAUCCAGCCCCUGAGUUGCUGGAAUCUGUUUCUCCCUUCAGGUGACUCCAGCUGCCCACCUAGUCACAGCACAGGCUCUGAGAGCUGCUGCAUCAUAGCAGCCAGGUAGGCACCUUUCUCUCAACACCCAAAUCUCUUUCAGACAGAAACUGGCUGCUUUUCAGACCCUUUGACUUAAACUAUGGAUCAGAUUAAUAAUGACAAAGCUUUCUGGCCUCUGGUGUAAUUUUUUUUUUUUAAAUCUCUUUAAUGAUAGCAGAUUGGAAAUACCAGUCUGGUCUCCAAUUGACCCUUGCUUUAUAGAUAAUCUGUGUUGAUUUUCUCCUGACUUCAUCCAUCUCUUGCAAGCAGAUCCCUUAUGAGUUUGCGGGGCAGUUUAGGAGAUAUACGAUCACCUGGGGAACCAAUAGGAGAUAAUUCCCGAGUACUGUGGAUUAUUUGCAAUUUAUUUCAUCAAAUUCAUUGGAGCUGUACAAUGAAAUGUGCAUUUGCCACCUUUCUGAGAGGAAUCUAAAGCCUGAAGAGCAGUAACUGCCAAUGCGUUUUGCAGAACUUUGCUGCUAUAUGGUUCCUAGUUUUCUGAAGAGUAAGUUCUCCUUGUUUAUCCUGCCAAACAGGCCUUCUGCUUCAAAUGAUAAGGCAGUAAUUCAGAAUACAUCUACACCCUAUCAGAACUUUUAGAGACACCUCUGUGCCCUGCAGUUCAGCUUGGGAUACAAAUUUCCCUGCAACUUGCAGGUAUUUAAGGUUGGGGCUUUGGCUCAGCUUCUUGAGUGAAUGAGGGGAAGUCACCAAGUCAGAAGUAGCUUGGUAUAGUUAGCAAAAUAGAAACCUGCCAGACUGAAGGGGAUGGCAGCUACUUUGCCUGUGACUGAGGAGGGAGGGAUUAGGCAUUUCAGCCAAACAGUUCGUUCCUGCCUCCUGUUUGUACCAUCCAUGUUGCUGUUAACUGCCUUUGUGAGAUUAGGGAGAGGGUAAAGGAGUGCCAGUGUGUACCAGAGGGCCCCAGUACAGCAGCAGCAGUCACAUCUGUCCUUUUAUCUGCAGCAGGAUUCCUCUGCCUUUUUGCCCUAGUCCUGGCCUAGCUCCUGUCCCGCCAAACCAGGACUGACCCGUCCUUGACAAUCAAGAAAGAACAGAAAAAAAUGUAUAAAUGGUGAUGUUGGAAACAAUGGAAGUAAACAGAAGGUCUCAGGGUGUCCUCCCUCUGAGGAGCAGAGAAAGGAAGAAAAAGAAGGGGUCACAAGGAGGAGAGGCACCUUCAUGAGCAGGAAAAGGGCCCUGUCUCCUUUAAACUUCCUCACACAGAGGCCACUCACAUCUUUCCCCUUCCCACGACACCUCUGCUACCCCUGCCUGCCUUGUCUGCUCCAAUGAUGCCCUCAGCUGGGAGUUUGGUUUUGCUACACAGUGUAACAAAUAAAGAGAUAAAUUCCAGUUCCAGUAGAUCACUCAACAGGCUCCCACUGAUUUUUCUUAGGGGAACUCCUGGUCACUUUGAGAUGCUUUCUUUAACAUUCAUCUAUUUUUAUUAUUAUUAUUAAUAGUAGUAGUAGUAGUAGUACUAGUGGUAUUAUUAUUGGUAUUAGUAUUCAGCUUUUGUGUUCUGAGACCAAUCACUUGAUGCGCAUUCCUCUUCUUCACUACUUUCAGAACUGAUGACCUGUAAUGGUGUGAUAAUUUCUUUUAACUUGAAAAAAUAAUAUCUUGAAAGAUUUCCUACUGAUACAAUCACUGUCUCCCCUGUGUGAUUCAGUCAUAUGCAGAUCCUGAUAUUUAGAUUAGAACUAUUUGGAGAAAUUCCAAGUACAAGCCAUGACACUGAGCAACUUGAAGCAACAACUCUUUUUUCUGCUAUGCAGAAAACAAAUCCCAAGAAGGCUUCUUGGAGAAGGAAGGGAGGGAGGGAAUAUGAGAGAGAAGAGAAUGAGAGAAAUCAUUCCUAAGAGAACAUUUAAGCACUGAAUUUCCUGAUUGUUAGUUUAAUUUAAUUGCUCUGCUUUUAAGAAUUCAUUUGUGCAAAUUGUAUCUGAAAAGAGAGGAGAGAACUUGUUUUCUGUGUACUAAAUCUUCAAAUAUAGUGAGGUGGCUUGUGGCCUUCUCACUCUGCUACCUGCAGGUAUUGAGUGUGAAGAACAUUUUCUGUUUGCAAUUCAAGUGCAGAAAGAUAAAAGCAGAAAGGUAGAAAAUCCCCAAAUCACUGUAUUCUCUCUCUUAGCACAGAAACAGCAUGAUCCUGUCGUGGUUUGACACGGAAAAAGAAUUUUUCUGGAAGGAAGAGGUCAAUUUGGACAUUGACCAAUUGAAGGUGGACAUGCCUCUGAGAACACAGAGGGGUUAAAAGCAGAAUUCCCAGGAGAACUCGCUCUCUCUGGUUCUGGUCAGCAUGCAGUGCAGGCUCUCCCCUGCCCAGCCACGAGCUGGGUGGGGGAGGGG